rnacentral:misc_RNA from 1 species
GAUGAAGAACGUAGCGAAAUGCGAUAAGUAAUGUGAAUUGCAGAAUUCAGUGAAUCAUCGAGUCUUUGAACGCACAUUGCGCCCCCUGGUAUUCCGGGGGGCAUGCCUGUCCGAGCGUCAUUGCUGCCCUCAAGCACGGCUUGUGUGAUGGGCCGUCGUCCCCCUCCUAGGGGACGGGCCCGAAAGGCAGCGGCGGCACCGCGUCCGGUCCUCGAGCGUAUGGGGCUUCGUCACCCGCUCCGUAGGCCCGGCCGGCGCUUGCCGACGACCAUCAAUCUCUUUCUCCAGGUUGACCUCGGAUCAGGUAGGGAUACCCGCUGAACUUAAGCAUAUCAAUAAGCGGAGGA